rnacentral:rRNA from 1 species
UACCAGCACCCCGAGUGGUCGGGACGAUUAUUGGGCCUAAAGCAUCCGUAGCCGGUCAUGCAAGUCCUCCGUUAAAUCCACCUGCUUAACAGAUGGGCUGCGGAGGAUACUACAAGGCUAGGAGGCGGAAGAGGCAAGCGGUACUCAGUGGGUAGGGGUAAAUCCUCUGAUCCAUUGAAGACCACCAGUGGCGAAGGCGGCUUGCCAAUACGCGCUCGACGGUGAGGA